GUCCCUGGAGCGUAAUAGAUAGCCCGUUGGACUCCUAAUUCAAAGGUCGUGGGUGCGAAACCCGCCUGGGAUG